rnacentral:lncRNA from 1 species
GAUGAUGCUCUCUCUCGUGGCCCGAUCUUCUGGUGAGGGGAUAACUCUCGCUUUGAUCGAGUGCGACGUUUGCGACGUGGCUACCAACCAGAACAAGUCCAGAACGCCGUGCAAUCGCUACACCACAAACGAUGUCGUACCAACCGUGACGCGCGGUUGAUGAUUCCUGCAAUGCAAACGAGAGAACACUGCAAGAACAAGAUAAGAUGCAAUCUAAAUAUUGCGAAUAGGUGAUUAAGCACAAAGAAAUAGUUGCGAUUGAAGUGGUAGAUCUAAUCGACCCGGCAAAUCAACACACCAACUAUUGGGGGCUCUGAAUCAAUAGUCGCCGACUAAUCGAGCGAGGACUAGAGACAAGGUGAAUGGCACUUGGCAAAAUUCAACUAAACAAAACCCAAAUGUUUUUGAGAAUGUACAAAGCUAUUUAUAGCGGAAAAUAAAGCUAGGGUUAAGUGCUAAUUCGUGGAGGUGGAGGGAGACACUUCCGAGAUGGGCCUAGUCUAUUACAAGGUCUAAGGCCUAAGUUCGGUUUCAGCAACAGUACUGUCUUGUUUUGGCGAUUCCCGUAGACUCGAGAUGAAUUUGGACGUGAGACUGGAUGCAUUUGAAAGGUAGCGAGAUAAGCUUUCCACGAAGUCCAAGAUCACCCAAAUCGGAGUUGGCAUGAAGGCGCUAGGUCCGUUUGAAAUCAGUGCUGUCUCCGGAGGCCGAACUGGAUUCCAAAACUCAUUGGACUUUAAUAUCCUGUAGAUCCUCCAUUUAUCCAACGCUUUAUAUGUUCAAUCUCGUUCUCUUUAUACACUCCUGUCAUUGUUAGUAAGCAAAAGAAACUCACGAGAAAGUGUUAGUUCCUAACAAUCUAUAGAUAUGUGGAGCUUUUGAAGGCACUCAACACUCAAGCAUAUACCAAAUUCUUACAAUGUUCUCAAAGAAUGCAAAAACAGGUCAAUCACCGUGGCUGGUUCGUGGCACAAUGACAAGCUUGAUGAGUGGAGCGAUUGCAAAGCAGGACCUAUAAAGGUUAGUAGUAUGUGGAUCUUGGUAGGCUUAAUUAUAUCACAAGGAAUAGCAAAAAUCAAACAGAUUUGCGAAAUUGAAUAAUAGUCCAAAGUACUAGUCAAAAUUGCUGGCCUAGCCUAGACUCAAUCCUAGCUCAAGCAAGCAAAUGAUCAAACACUCGGACUACAAACAACUCGAUUUUAUCACACCGCUCUCUCCAAGAAAACCAAUAGCCUAAAAAAAAUUUCCACACUUUCUUUUUUUUUUCUCCUUAUUAUUAUUAUUUUUGGUGCGGCUCUUUUUUUUUCUUUUUUUUUUUUUGCACCGUCUGCCUUUUUUUUUUGUAUUUCUUCCUCUUUUUUUCUUUUUCAAGUAAUUAACUCAAGCACAUAUGCACGAUUGUGUUGCAUGCAUACCUCGGUCACAAGAGAAAACGAUGGAUACCUCCUAUUUUUGUGGCGCAAGGAAUAUGGGAACCGAUCUUGAUUUAUAUACUUUCUAUUUGCGCGUGGCAGCUCAAAAGGAAGAAAAACUGGGAAUUGCUAUUUUUUUGGCACAUGCACUUCGGAUAUAUUGAAACACGAUUAGCUUCCUAAUUUCACGCGCUAUUUACUUGGUAACGUACCAGAAUUCCACGGCAUGCAUGCACUAACACAGGAGGAUGAAAAAAAGAUCAGAUCUAAUGUUUUCUUCUCCUUCAACCGAACGUACAGGCAGUGAGCAACCAAGAUGCAAAACUCAAACCAGACGAAGCUAGAACAAAAACCAGCACUGACACGACAGCGGACCAAAACUCAAUAAAGCAAAAUUGAAUGAAAAUUACAAGGCUCAAAACUAAUGUUUGGUAAAGGAAAAAGUGGUGCGGCUGUAUAGUGGAUGAUGGGAAAAAAUUACAAAACUAAAAUCCUCACCAGGCAACUGAAGCUCUGAUACCAACUGAUGAUGCUCUCUCUCGUGGCCCGAUCUUCUGGUGAGGGGAUAACUCUCACUUUGAUCGAGUGCGACGUUUGCGACGUGGCUACCAACCAGAACAAGUCCAGAACGCCGUGCAAUCGCUACACCACAAACGAUGUCGUACCAACCGUGACGCGCGGUUGAUGAUUCCUGCAAUGCAAACGAGAGAACACUGCAAGAACAAGAUAAGAUGCAAUCUAAAUAUUGCGAAUAGGUGAUUAAGCACAAAGAAAUAGUUGCGAUUGAAGUGGUAGAUCUAAUCGACCCGGCAAAUCAACACACCAACUAUUGGGGGCUCUGAAUCAAUAGUCGCCGACUAAUCGAGCGAGGACUAGAGACAAGGUGAAUGGCACUUGGCAAAAUUCAACUAAACAAAACCCAAAUGUUUUUGAGAAUGUACAAAGCUAUUUAUAGCGGAAAAUAAAGCUAGGGUUAAGUGCUAAUUCGUGGAGGUGGAGGGAGACACUUCCGAGAUGGGCCUAGUCUAUUACAAGGUCUAAGGCCUAAGUUCGGUUUCAGCAACAGUACUGUCUUGUUUUGGCGAUUCCCGUAGACUCGAGAUGAAUUUGGACGUGAGACUGGAUGCAUUUGAAAGGUAGCGAGAUAAGCUUUCCACGAAGUCCAAGAUCACCCAAAUCGGAGUUGGCAUGAAGGCGCUAGGUCCGUUUGAAAUCAGUGCUGUCUCCGGAGGCCGAACUGGAUUCCAAAACUCAUUGGACUUUAAUAUCCUGUAGAUCCUCCAUUUAUCCGAUGUAUUCUUUGGCAAUAUUUUAUAUUUCUCAUGCUUGGUUGUAUGCAUAUACUUGAUGGUCACAUCAAC